rnacentral:rRNA from 1 species
UACGUAGGGACCAAGCGUUGUUCGGAUUUACUGGGCGUAAAGGGCGCGUAGGCGGCUUAACAAGUCACUUGUGAAAUCUCCGGGCUUAACUCGGAACGGCCAAGUGAAACUGUCAAGCUAGAGUGCAGAAGGGGCAAUCGGAAUUCUUGGUGUAGCGGUGAAAUGCGUAGAUAUCGGGAGGAACACCAGUGGCGAAGGCGACUACCUGGCCUGUUCUUGACGCUGAGGCGCGAAAGCUAGGGGAGCAAACGGG